rnacentral:lncRNA from 13 species
AUUACAAUCAGUUAUCAUGAGAUAAAAACACAUUCUUUUAGUUUUUAAUUAAUAUUUCAUCACAGCGCUCUGCAAGCUCACAUUUACAGACUAAAGAACUCUGCUCAGCAAGCAAAUACAUUUAAAUAAAAUUAAAUUAUAAAACUAGAACGCUUCAGAAUUUUGCGUUUUGUCUGGAUGGAGGUCUGGUGGAAAGGAUACAGCUUCAUUACUUUAUCCCAGAUGUAUAUCCCACAUGUAUAUCCCAGAUGUAUAUCCCACAUGUAUAUCCCAGAUGUAUAUCCCAGAUGUAUAUCCCACAUGUAUAUCCCACAUGUAUAUCCCACAUGUAUAUCCCACAUGUAUAUCCCAGAUGUAUAUCCCACAUGUAUAUCCCACAUGUAUAUCCCAAAUGUAUAUCCCACAUGUAUAUCCCAGAUGUAUAUCCCACAUGUAUAUCCCACAUGUAUAUCCCAGAUGUAUAUCCCAGAUGUAUAUCCCACAUGUCUAUCCCACAUGUCUAUCCCACAUGUCUAUCCCACAUGUCUAUCCCAGAUGUAUUUCCCACAUGUCUAUCCCAGAUGUAUAUCCCAGAUGUAUAUCCCACAUGUCUAUCCCAGAUGUAUAUCCCAGAUGUAUAUCCCAGAUGUAUAUCCCACAUGUCUAUCCCACAUGUC